rnacentral:rRNA from 1 species
GUGCACGCUGGCGGUAGGCCUAACACAUGCAAGUCGAACGGCAGCACAGUAAGAGCUUGCUCUUACGGGUGGCGAGUGGCGGACGGGUGAGGAAUACAUCGGAAUCUACUUUUUCGUGGGGGAUAACGUAGGGAAACUUACGCUAAUACCGCAUACGACCUACGGGUGAAAGCAGGGGAUCUUCGGACCUUGCGCGAUUGAAUGAGCCGAUGUCGGAUUAGCUAGUUGGCGGGGUAAAGGCCCACCAAGGCGACGAUCCGUAGCUGGUCUGAGAGGAUGAUCAGCCACACUGGAACUGAGACACGGUCCAGACUCCUACGGGAGGCAGCAGUGGGGAAUAUUGGACAAUGGGCGCAAGCCUGAUCCAGCCAUACCGCGUGGGUGAAGAAGGCCUUCGGGUUGUAAAGCCCUUUUGUUGGGAAAGAAAAGCAGCAGGCUAAUACCCCGCUGUUCUGACGGUACCCAAAGAAUAAGCACCGGCUAACUUCGUG